rnacentral:rRNA from 1 species
UUGCAUCGAUGAGAACGCAGCGAAAUGCGAUACGUAAUGUGAAUUGCAAAUUCAGUGAAUCAUCGAGUCUUUGAACGCACAUUGCGCCCCCUGGUAUUCCGGGGGGCAUGCCUGUCCGAGCGUCAUUGCUGCCCUCAAGCCCGGCUUGUGUGUUGGGCCCCGUCCUCCGAUUCCGGGGGACGGGCCCGAAAGGCAGCGGCGGCACCGCGUCCGGUCCUCGAGCGUAUGGGGCUUUGUCACCCGCUCUGUAGGCCCGGCCGGCGCUUGCCGAUCAACCCAAAUUUUUAUCCAGGUUGACCUCGGAUCAGGUAGGGAUACCCGCUGAACUUAAGCAUAUCAAUAG